rnacentral:lncRNA from 1 species
CGAACCUGCAUGGGAGGCAGUCUUUAGGCUGCCGAACGUGCCCCCGAAGGAGGGACUUUCGUUUCUGUCCAGGGGUUUCGGCCGCCGAACCUGCCGCCGAACUUACCCGAGUUUCGUCUCUGGAAGGGACUUUCGGCCGCCGAAGGUGCCGCCGAAAGUGCCCUGUCCAGCCGUUUCUUGGGUGUUUCCUAUGCAUGUUUUAGUGAUGUUUAGAGGGGUUUUUGGGGGUAUGUUUAUGAGUUGUUUAGAGUAUGUUUGGCACCUCAUUCGAGUCCACCUGUGUAGGAUCGGACCCGAGGGACCGAGGAGGCCAGUAGUGCUAGCAGUUGCAGAGUCUGUCAGCGUCUGCCAGGAGGUGAGUAGAACUAAACCUAAUCUUUUAUUUUAAGAAAUCAAAUGUCUAAUGCAUCUUUAUUUUAAGGAAUUCAAAUGCCUAAAGCAUAUGCAUGCAUCAUGUUUAUAUGUAAUAGGAUGAUUGCACUAGUUUCACGAAUGUGACGCAUUGCAUAAAUUGUUGAUUAUAUGAUGAGAUGGGUGGACCAAGGCGACCUCAAUAGCCCGUAAGUCUGUCAUUGAGUCCUUGUUAGUCGGGCGAGUACAUGUAGGAAAGCCCAAUGAGAGCUCCUUCGGGGCCGAGUUAUGACAGAGGGAAUGUUGGGGUCAUGUCUAACCCUGAGGGGAAGGACGUUUCGAGAACCCUCUAAAAUCACCCGCAAGAGGAAGAGAUUGCUAGCGUGAACUCAAGCGGGGAAGAAAUGUUUGAUGUGUAUUCGUUGUGAUAUGACGCAUUUCAUGAAAGCAUGAAAUAAAAGAAAGAAAUAAAAUAAAAUGAAAUAAAAUAAAAUAAAUAAUGAAUAAUAAAAUGAAAUCAUAAUUAAUGAACUGUUUUCUCUGUUUCUACUCACUGGGCUCUUGUAGCUCACCCCAUUCCCUUAACCCCAGUUUUGCAGGGCCAGAGUAAGUAAGUCAGAGUAAGUCAGAUAGAGCUAUGGGAAAGAAGAGGUUCAAGCAUGGGUUGCCAUGUUUGGUUGUAAUAGCUUAGCUAUGUUUUGUUUAUGUUUGAGUAAGGCUUGAUGUGUAUGUUUAUGGUUAUAGUGGAUGUUAUGUAAGGAAGUUGUUAAAGAGAUGAUAUGUUAUGUAAUGCUAUGUAUGUUUUGUAUGCUUGUUUAGCUUAGUAAUGGACAUGAUAGAUGGACUUGAUGUAUGGUCCUUAUGUAUAUAAAG